rnacentral:rRNA from 1 species
GAUGAACGCUGGCGGCGUGCUUAACACAUGCAAGUCGAACGGAAAGGCUCCUGUGUGGGUGCGUGCGCGAGGGGCGGGCGAGUAACAAGCGAGUGAGCUGCCCUUGACGCAGGUAGGGAUACGCGUAACUGAGUCGGAUACCUAAUAGGAAUCCUUAUGGCAUGGUUGGGGUUGUGGAACGUCUUUGGGUGUGGGUUGAGCUCGCGGCCUAUCAGCUUGUUGUGGGGGUGGUGGCCUACCAAGGUGUUGACGGGUAGCCGGCCUGAGAGGGUGUACGGCCACAUUGGGACUGAGAUACGGCCCAGACUCCUACGGGAGGCAGCAGUGGGGAAUAUUGCACAAUGGGCGGAAGCCUGAUGCAGCAACGCCGCGUGCGGGAUGACGGCCUUCGGGUUGUAAACCGCUUUCAGCAGGGGCGAAGCUUGUGGUGACGGUACCUGCAGAAGAAGCACCGGCUAACUACGUG